GAACAGAGUUCCAAAAUAAAAAUCACUUGAGCUGAUUCGAUGUUGUUUUUACAGUUUUUACAUUAACACAUUUAUGAGUUUUUCUGUGAAAACAUAGGGGGGAAUAAAACCACCCACAGGCCACAUUUGGGCUGCCAGUAGGGGAACCCUGCUGUAAAAGGUCAUGUGAACUUCUUGCAACAUAUAUUGGUUGCACCUUGAAAAUCAUGGUCAUGCUUGUCCAUGCAUGGUUAGUAAAGAUUACAUUUCCAACUCACUUCCUUCCUCUCAUUGUAAGAUGUAUUUGAGAACACACACAUACUGUGGAUGGAUGUGUACUGCGCUAACGGUCAACUAAUGAAUAAUUAGCUAUGAUGUACAAGAUUAGGCAACAGCAGGACUCAGCUUCAUAAUAUGAUGUUUGUCAAGGGUACAAGACAAGGUAUUGCUUGCUUCAGUACUGGUUAACUGUCCAAUCAGUCACAGUUGACCUAAGUGAUAGUGUUCACCACAAACCUUUGUCUGUCUAGAAUAUGCUUAGCAGGACAGGAAAGUUAUCCAAUUCACACACUUAUCAAGAGAACAUCUCUGGUCAUCCCAUGUUUACCAUAGUUGGCUGGACGUCGUUUAGGUGGUAGACCAUUCUUGAUUGACGUUGGAAACUCGAGUGUGAAAACCUCAGCAGAGUUGCAGUUCUUGACACACUCAAACCGGUGCGUCUGGCAUACCCCGUUCAAAAGCACUUGUCUUGCCCACUUUACCGUGGGUUAAAGAAAGAUUAUUAAGCCGUCUUGUCCACAUCUACACUGAUUGAAGUGGAUUUAACAAGUGACAUAAAUAAGGGAUCAUAACUUUCACCUCAAUUUACCUGGUCAGUCUGUCAUGAAAGUAGCAGGUGUUACUAAUGUUUUGUACAUCAGUGUAUAUCAAUUGUAUAUUUGAUGAGUUUAAUUCCAAAAUGCUAUAUCCACACACUUUUCACAUGUUUUUUUUUCAUCAGAAAUUGCUUAUGGGUACGUUCAUAUGUGUAAAAUAUUACUGUUCACACAUUUAUUCAGAUUUUAGACGCGUAUGAAAAUGGGUUAUUUUGCUAAUUGCUAUAUGUCCAUUGUUUAGCUGGAAUGUUCGUAUCCUGCAUAUCCAUUGGCAAAUGACAGGAGUGGCAAGGAGUGUAAUGUAAUAGCUGAACAGAGAUGGAAACCAGACUAACAGCAAUGUCACUGAAGAUUGAAUUCCUGCAUGGAAUUCAAGACAGUACAUAAUACAACUAAUGAUUUUAGAAUUCAAAAUAGGUAAAAAAGAGUGAGCUGAGUUUAAUAGACAAUGUCUGUUAGUCACUUACUGGACACAAUGUGUCGUUGUGUAAUUGUGCGCCAUCUACUGGCAAAUAAUGGAACGUCCAUAGUGUUAGCAUGGACUUAAUCCUUCUGGUGAGUCUGUCUCACGUAUCAUUGCAUUUUAACUUGGAAAAACAUUUUGUGCAAUAUUAUUAUGAAUCAUAUUUUCUUAGGCUUAUAAUAAAAUCCAGCAGAUUAGUAACAUUACAAUUUUGAUAUAGGUUUCUCUGUAAAUUGCAUUUUGGCACUUUACAGCACCCUGUCAUUGGUAGCAUGAACAUCCCUUGGUUUGACAGGCACUCUUCCUUCUCCCGCCACCAGAUGUCUACACUAAAAAUUAGGGGUUCAACAAGGGUUCUUCUAAGAUCCUCAAAGUUCUUUGAAGAACCUUAGGGUUCUUGGCACUGAAAAUUGCCCCCAAAAGGUUAUUCUGAGAACCCCAUAGGAGGUGGGGUUUAUCGAGGAACCUCUUUAGUUGGUGGAUGUUCUUGCAGUAACCUAACUGCCCAACUGAAACAUUUGGAUUUGAAAGGACAGCAGGCACUUAACUGUAAAGAUCUCCUCAAUUCAAGGUAAGACUUCUCCCUUUUAUAUGAUCUAAAUUGAUAUUGUUUUGUGAUGAUACAAUCUAUCUUUAAAUAUUUGUGCAAAUCUUUCUAAACCAGAUAAUGGACACAAGUCAAUGGAUAAACAAAGAGGUAUACAGACGAGGAGGCAUACAAAGGUAUGUCUAUCGGUAUGUUAUGGAGAUCACAUGUACCAUCCUCCCUUGCCUCUUCAAUGAAAACCCCAUAGGCCUCUACAUUAUGGACAAGAUUUCACCCUCCCUACACCUCUGAUGAAUAUAUCAGGAAACCUGCUCAAUCACCAUGCACUGCAAAAUCAUUCUGGCUAUGGACGCGGGGAACAUCAACACAUUAAUAUCAACACGCCAGAGGACAUACCCAUUGGACUUGGGGCUCACAUUUUAGAAUUUUUAUUCUGCUUUGCCACUUAAAUCAUAAUGAACACUGACAACUAAAAUAUUGUGUUAUUGUUAUGCAUAAUAAUAGGGGAGGGAAGUAGUUCAGAUAUGAACCCCUAAAGGUUCUUCGAGGAUCUAUUAAGAGGGGUUCUUCGAAGAACUUAUAGGUUCCCCCACAGUUUUAAUUUGAAGAACCCCUAAAGGAUAUUCCAGGAACCUUUUAUUUUUAGUGUAGUAAUUAAGGCAGAAUGUAAAAAGUGUACCUCAUGUCCAUCACCAGCUUCAGAAAUAACCUCUCUUGCUACAGCUUUGUCCCAUUCAAGGUUGAGUUAACCUGAUUAGUCUGUGUUCAAAUUGCAGUCUUCUGUUCCCCAGAGCAAUGUGGCACAGCCAGGCCGACGGAUGUUGUCGAGCAGCGACAGUGGAGUGGGUAUAAUUUGUGAAAAGUUCCAACAGGAAUCUGUAUCAAAAACUUUGAAGUACAAGGAUGCCAACAAACAUUGCAUACAAAUUAGCAUGAUCAAUUCACCUAUCUAAUUAGCUGCCGAAUAGUCAUCAACUCACCACGUAGUUUAUUCUUAACGUUUGUCCAUAGGUUCCCAGAGUGAGGACAGACCUUUUCGGAAUGAACGUGGUGAGUGAAAAACGUAAUUAAAUUGCCCACUGCAGUAUCUUAUUCUGCCGCUAUACAACUUUGUAUGCGUUGUUUGUUGGCAACCUUGUUGUUUACGAAGUUUUUGAAACAGAUUCCUGUUGGAACAUUACACAAAUUAUACCCACCUGCAACAGUGUUGUCUCUGGAUGUGAACACUUAUGGGCAUUUUUACAUGCUUUCAUUGCACCUGUUCAGUGUACAUUUACAGGUGAUUAGAACGCUUGUUAUGGACAUUUUUUACAAGCGUUCAUUACACCUGUUCAGCCUAUUGGGUAAAGAAUGGCGUUUUUGUAGUUUGUUUUUGGAUAAUAGCUGAAAACAACUUGUGUGGUAGCUAACGUCACAUUCUGUGAUUUAAAAAAAUAUAUAUAUAUUGUGAGCGUACCAAGUAAUUAGGCGUCACUCUAAAGCGGGAAGGUGGAAUAAACGAGUCAGGAAAAAGGUUUUUCUGAUUGAACACGGUUCUCUAUUGAGAGUAUUUUGUCAACAAAAACAUUCAAACAUAAUCAAUGAAAAAUCUUCCAAGGAAAAACACACAUCUUCUUCUCCAGAUGAAACAAGAACACAAUAGGAUAAUCUUUAAACUACAACAAACAUAAAUCACGGUUUUGUCACCGUCUUAGUGGUUCUUUCAGCACAGCUUCUCUCUCUCGGUGGCCAUCUUCCAGAGAUAGUUUCCCCUCUCUCUUCUGGUUCCAUUCUCUCUUUUAUAGGGGAAGGAGAGUAUCUCAUUAGUACCGUCAGCUGUGCUUAAUUGACUCUGGUUACCUUGUCUCCCAGGCUCUGUUGGGCAACUAUCCAUGAGCCCAGCCUGCCCUCUAGUGGUCCGUCCACAUAC